rnacentral:lncRNA from 1 species
AUGAUUCACUCUUCCAGUAUGGAAGAAUGGAGAACCAGUAGAGGCCUUUUGUCACAUUGCCUGAGCAUGGAGGAUUUCAUAGGCUGGGACAUUCAGGGUGGGCAGCUUUUGCAAUGGAAUUUGGAAGCAAUUUAUGUGAUGGAACUGGCAAGAUAAACACCUGAGAUGACAUGGAGACACUGGGGAGCUUUGAAGGCAAGUUAUACAAAUGGGAACUAAAAAUGAAAGAGGGGAAAUUGAAAUGAAGAUAAAAAGGUUUAAAUACCUGAGGGCAAGGUAAAAGGAAAGCAAAGACCUCAGAUUCAUUGUAUUCAAGUAGUAUGAUCAGAGUGAUUUUUCUUUUCUAAAACCAAAAGAAUAUGUCAAUGUAAAUUUUUUUCUGGUAGAGGAAACAUACUUGAGGUUUUCUCUAUCACUCAUUUGCAAAUGGCAGUGCUCAAAUAGUUAUGAAAAUUAAUAGGACAGGGUGUUUUAUUUGGGAGUUCGCCUAGGGAAGAGUCAUAUCCUCUAAAGAAAAUGCAUUUUUUCUUUCACCUGGUGGAGCUAACUUUAAACUCUCUUUAAAAGACCAUGGGAGACUCACAGAAAGCAUUAAUGUAAUGUUGCCAAGCACGUGCCUUUUUUCUCUUUCCUUCUGCCACUGAGGGUUUGGGUUGCUGCUCCUCCUGUGCAAUUUCAGUUUGCCUCUUUGCUCUGCUAAGGUUGCUGUCAUUGGUUCACCACAUUCCUUGGACAUUUGCUGCACAUUUUACUGGCAUGAGCAUGAAUAGAAAUAUAAUUCUGACAUUAAUUAGCUGAGAAUGUGUGCAUCACUGGAGAAUAAAAGGAAUAUAUUUCCAGAAAAUCA